UAUAAUGCCAUGUGUAGCACAAAUUUAUUAUUAUAGUAUGAGUCACAAAUUAUUUACUAAUUGUGCCAUAUACACAUACAUUGUGUCUACUAAAGUUAGCUACAUUUUGUAUGUUAGCAAGGGAGCUCUUAAGUGCUAAAUUAACUAGACACCAAAAUAAUUUAUCUUCAUUAUUAUGGCUAUGAUUGAUAGUUAAUUUAGUGGGUGUGGUCUUUGAAGUAAAAUGGCUGCUAUCAAAAUGGAAGUUUUAAGCAAAUAUUGUUGCAAACGGUCAGCUACAGCAGCAUGGAGUUUUUAGAUUAUUGAUCUGAAAGAAUAACUAAGAACUUAAAGCCUUUAAUUUUUCGCGAAUAACCUUUAUUUGGAGGUUCACGAAAUUAAUUUUUUGCGAAUUUCAACUAUUCUGCCAUCUUGUAUCAUAUGAAAUUAAUUUUCAAGGAAUUUUAAUUUUGCAAAUCUUAAUUUUUUUUUGAAAUUUGAGAAAAUUGCUAUCCACAAAAAACAGUAAAUGGUGAUUUAUUUUAACUACAUGUACAGUAUACCACAAAAAAAGGCUAAGUAGCUACUGCACAGUUACCUUUGUACUUCGUUGACGCUGCAAUUGAAUUGCGUUGACGGUUCGCUUACUGUACUCUGCACAUGUGCAGUGAGACAGUAGCGAAUUGGGAGGUGUGGUUCAAUUACCUUUUAAUUACGUAAGAGUACGGUGAGAGUACGGUAGUAACCGUAGUAACUAUUAGCAAAGAGCAGCUGGCUAGAGAGAGACUCGAGGAGACAUUGAAGGAGACAGUGCUAGCUAAAGCCCAAAGGAUCAGAGCCCAUCAUCAUAGUACGAGGCUUGUGGAGAGCGAUAGAGAAACAGGAAGAGUAAGAGUUACAGUACACCAUGAGUCUGAGGCAAGACCUUAAAUCUCUGCAGAUUAAAAAGCACCCGCCUUAUUAUCUUGUAUUCUUCAAAGAAGACCGCUCUUUGGGCGUUGCAAAAGCUAACAAUAUCAUUGAAUUGGAUAAGGAAGACUUGUUGGAGCCUGGAACAGAGUGCCACGUAAGAUCAAAAAAAAUGUAUUUGAUGGAAUUGUGGUGACUCAUGGGACUGAAAUUGAUGUGGAUACAGUUGGCGAGAAGAUCAUUAAUAAGCUUUAUACUCCUGAGUUUUUGAAAGGAUUAUUAAGUGAUGACUCGGAUUCUGAUGAUGUGACAACUGAUUGCACUUGUGCUAGCGACUCAGAUAUUGAUGCAAAGAGUAAGAGAAAUGCUAAAAGGAAAAGGACAGAUAGUGGUAAGCCAGCUAAGAAAAGUAUGAUGAAAA